CCUACGGGAGGCAGCAGUGGGGAAUCUUGCGCAAUGGGCGAAAGCCUGACGCAGCCAUGCCGCGUGAAUGAUGAAGGUCUUAGGAUUGUAAAAUUCUUUCACCGGGGACGAUAAUGACGGUACCCGGAGAAGAAGCCCCGGCUAACUUCGUGCCAGCAGCCGCGGUAAUACGAAGGGGGCUAGCGUUGCUCGGAAUUACUGGGCGUAAAGGGAGCGUAGGCGGAUAGUUUAGUCAGAGGUGAAAGCCCAGGGCUCAACCUUGGAAUUGCCUUUGAUACUGGCUAUCUUGAGUACGGAAGAGGUAUGUGGAACUCCGAGUGUAGAGGUGAAAUUCGUAGAUAUUCGGAAGAACACCAGUGGCGAAGGCGACAUACUGGUCCGUUACUGACGCUGAGGCUCGAAAGCGUGGGGAGCAAACAGGAUUAGAUACCCUGGUAGUCCACGCUGUAAACGAUGAGUGCUAGUUGUCGGCAUGCAUGCAUGUCGGUGACGCAGCUAACGCAUUAAGCACUCCGCCUGGGGAGUACGGUCGCAAGAUUAAAACUCAAAAUGAAUUGACGG
rnacentral:rRNA from 1 species